ensembl:lncRNA
GUAUAAGUGGGUGAAUGUGUGCUAAUUUUCAGCUAAAUCCUUACAGCCAUAGAAUUUUUCCAGUAUGACUCAAAGAAAAUAUACAACCAACUAUUUCAAUUCUACGUGGGUGUUUAGAAACUGGGGAGAAGGAUGAGAAGAGUAUCUACUUUUUCUCCUUAUUGCCUGGAAUAUCACAGAACCUCUGUCAAAGUCAUCCAGUGCUAUAAUAUCAGAAGCUAUGAUAACCUGAUGGAAUGAAGUAGUGAUGUUACACUGGAUAGAAGAACAUUUCAGUCCUGAUAUUUGCUGUAACUAAUAACUACUGGAUAAACAAAGAAGGCACAUGGAGGAUCUUUUACCUGGGUCCAACAAAACAACAGCAGCAAGUUGAAAAAAGCAAAAAAAAAAAAAAAAAAAAGAGAGAGACCAAGGUGCAAUUACAAUCCUAUCCCACAAAGAGGUCAAAGGCUACCCAAAAGACCAGUCGGCCGCAGGAUCCUCAAAUCAUCUAAGCCAUUCGUAUACUCUCAGGUAUGUUACAGAUGGUCUCCAAUUUUAUUUGUAUCUGAAUUUGUGGAGAGGAUGCAGGGAAAAUCAUGUUUGUUGGCUUACCUAUCCCGACACAGACAUCAGGUUACUACUAAAACACACGAUUCUACAGUUGUACUACCAGUAACAGUUCAAAAAGUACUUUCCUCAUAUGUUAUCUACAUUUGAUGCUAAAUGUACUUGUGAGUUAUGUAAUAAUGUCCUCUUGCAUAUAUAAUGUUUAUCAAUAAACCAACAUCAUGAAUCUGCCCAAUAAAAUCAGGUUUAAACAUGGGUUUCCAGUUCCAGAUUUUUCCUCCAGGCCUUGCUUCUUCCAAAUCUUUCCUUUUGUAGUAGAUUUACACGUUUCAUCAAAAUAAGUCUAGUUGACAUGUUUAAGGUAAUUCUUUAACUUUCCAACCAUAUUCUUCUUUAUUGCUUAUCAUUUUACCUGCUGGUUGUCAUUUGAAAUUCUGUCCUUUCCCUGGAAUCUGAAGUAAGUUGGUAAAGACUCAGAAUUCCUAAUGUUGCAAUGCAUUAUUUACUUUUGUAGUACAUUUACACAUUCCAUCAAGAUGAGUCUAUUUGACAUAUUUAAGGUAAUUUGUUAACUUUCCAACCAUGUUCUUCUUCAUUGCUUAUCAUUUUACCUGCUGGUUGUCAUUUGCAAUCCUCUCGUUGCCCUGGAAUCUGAAGUAAGUUCGUAAAGAUGUAGAACUCCCAAUGUUGCAAUGCAUCAUUUCUAGGAUUUAACUGACUUCCCUGACAUCAAAUUGUGUCUUGUAAAGGCCACAGUUUGUCUCUCUGAUAUAAAGUAAAUGUAAUGCAUGUUGGGUCAAGACUGUCAUUUUGGCCAAUAAAUGACCUGAAGUACCUGCCUAGGGCUGGCUGGCAUGUACAGAAUGCAUUCAAACAAGUUAUUCUUACGGUUAUUCAACAGCUUCUGUUUUUUUUCUGACUCCCUUCACAGAUU